UACAGAGGGGGCAAGCGUGGUUCGGAAUUACUGGGCGUAAAGGGCGCGUAGGCGGCCCGCUAAGUCGAACGUGAAAUCCCCAGGCUCAACCUGGGAACUGCGUCCGAUACUGGCAGGCUUGAAUCCGGGAGAGGGAUGUGGAAUUCCAGGUGUAGCGGUGAAAUGCGUAGAUAUCUGGAGGAACACCGGUGGCGAAGGCGGCAUCCUGGACCGGUAUUGACGCUGAGGCGCGAAAGCUAGGGGAGCAAACGGG
rnacentral:rRNA from 1 species